rnacentral:rRNA from 1 species
UACCUACGGGGGGCUGCAGUAGGGAAUUUUCGGCAAUGGGGGAAACCCUGACCGAGCAACGCCGCGUGAAGGAAGAAGUAAUUCGUUAUGUAAACUUCUGUCAUAGAGGAAGAACGGUGGAUAUAGGGAAUGAUAUCCAAGUGACGGUACUCUAUAAGAAAGCCACGGCUAACUACGUGCCAGCAGCCGCGGUAAUACGUAGGUGGCGAGCGUUAUCCGGAAUUAUUGGGCGUAAAGAGGGAGCAGGCGGCAGUAAGGGUCUGUGGUGAAAGAUCGAAGCUUAACUGCGGUAAGCCAUGGAAACCGUAGAGCUAGAGUGUGUGAGAGGAUCGUGGAAUUCCAUGUGUAGCGGUGAAAUGCGUAGAUAUAUGGAGGAACACCAGUGGCGAAGGCGACGAUCUGGCGCAUAACUGACGCUCAGUCCCGAAAGCGUGGGGAGCAAAUAGGAUUAGAUACCCUGGUAGUCAUA